CGGAGGGGCGUAGCGUUGUUCGGAAUUACUGGGCGUAAAGCGCACGUAGGCGGCUUUGUAAGUUAGAGGUGAAAGCCCGGAGCUCAACUCCGGAAUUGCCUUUAAGACUGCAUCGCUCGAAUCAUGGAGAGGUGAGUGGAAUUCCGAGUGUAGAGGUGAAAUUCGUAGAUAUUCGGAAGAACACCAGUGGCGAAGGCGACUCACUGGACAUGUAUUGACGCUGAGGUGCGAAAGCGUGGGGAGCAAACAGGAUU
rnacentral:rRNA from 1 species